rfam:Angiostrongylus costaricensis strain Costa Rica genome assembly, scaffold: ACOC_scaffold0001060
GAGAUCAUACUAUACAGAAUCAUUUCUGCAGUAUGUAUUUCACAGUCCCAACCAAAAUGCGACGCCUGUCAACCGCGAUGAAAGGGAAACGGGCGAGUCGCGAGCGGGAAGAACGCGGAAACGCGUUGGUGACCGCGGCACUGCAGCAAUGCGGUGCCAGUGGCUCGCUCAUCUGAGCGGU